rnacentral:lncRNA from 1 species
AGAGCAUGGCAGGUGCAACUGCUGAAGUGAUAUGGCUGACUGGUUUAUUGCCAGAGCUUGGAGUGACCUUAACCAUGCCUGUGAAGUUGUUUUGUGAUAAUAAAGCUGCACUACAAAUUGCUGCUAAUCCUAUUUUUCAUGAGAGAACUAAGCACAUAGAAAUCGAUUGUUAUUUUGUCAGAGAAAGAAUCAAAUCAGGUUUACUGCAACCAGUUCAUGUCCCCUCCAACAUUCAACUAGCUGAUCUCAUGACUAAAGGACUUCCAGCAGCUCAACAUCAGUUUCUUCUUUCCAAGCCGAGAGUCCUUGAUGUUUUCCGGUCACCAGCUUGAGGGGGAGUAAAGAGACUAGUCAGUUAGAUUGUUGUAGUUUGUUAGAAAAAGAGUGGUGUACAGCUGGUGUACAACUGUCAAGUUAGUGGAGUUGGAUGUUAGUGGAGUCGGUUAUUUUUCUAAAUAAGUAGCAAUUGCAUCACUAACAAUGUAAUCAGAACAAAUCAUUUUUCAAUCAAUAAAGCUUGUUCAUUCCUCUAAGAACCAUAUCAACGAACUUGGUUCAAUAGCUCUAGGGAUUUUAUCAAGCUACGUAUUUACCAUGUUAGAAAAAGCUUGAAGACUAUACUUCACAGGAAAAUGACGGUGCGAAUAAUAGUAUAUUUCCAUAGUAUCUGAGUCAGUGGACUCAGAUAUACCAGCAAUCGGUCGUUGGUCCCUUGGUUGAAAGCACUAAUUUAUAUAUUUAUUUAUUUAUAAGUUAAUGGUCAGAAAUAUAUUAAAAUUAUUAUAGAUUUUUCAAAAACUUUUAUACCUCAUUCAUUGUUUCAUUUACUUAUCUAAACAGUCACUACUAUCUUAAAACACACUUCAAUGUUGAGUUAAUCAAAUAUUUGAUCCAUAUAGUUGAGGUAUGGACUGUACGAAAAGAUGAUAUUUAAGUAGGGGAAUAGAAAAAUGGAUAGUUGAAAUGUGAAACUGGCGAAAAAGUGAUGUUUAAACAUUAUUUUUAAUUACAUUUAUGAAAACGAAUAAUUCGGUAUGGCUAUAAAUUUAUAUAGAAACUUAUAAUUUUCCUUAACCCCGCCCCCCCCCCCCGCGGCCCCCUCUAAAUAAUUGGUUUGAUUUAAUUCGACAGGUUAAAGUCGAUUUUUAGAAAAUCAUUUAACACUCUAGGAAGUAUUAGGUAAUGCUUUAUUUUCAAAGACGUAUAUCCUCCAAAGAGCUUUAUUCAUAUUUUACUUAACGAGGUACUAUGAAGAUAUGAAAGAGAUCAAAAGGAAAUUAUAUAUGUGCGUAUAAAUAGCUGCGUGUAACCAACCACUUGGAUACUGGGGCAUUGAGAAGCAAGGAUACUUCCAUAAGCAAAAAGUCAUAUUGUCUGUGAUAUAUGAAUCUAAAGCAAAAAGUCAUGUUGUCCGUGAUAUAUGAAUCUAAUGGUAGAAAAUAAUAUCUGUGAUAUAUGAAUCUGAUGGUAGAAAAAUAAUCUAAUAUUGAAUACCCAUUAGAAACGUCUAUUAGAAAAUGACAAAAGACAGCCCAAAAGAACAAAUAAAAACUCAAGACUUAUUCUUUUACGCGUAAUAUUUGAUGAUUCAUGUGUGAUGCGGGAUGUUUUCUUUCCUGCUCUCGAAUUCUAUUGGGAGCUUUCAAGAGGAGCGGAACUAGCAUAUAAUUAGGGGUGCAGAUGAAUUCUUUCGAUGAAAAAUUAUAUUUUAGGAUGAAAAUUACUUUUUAUAAAUAUAUAACAGGGUAUGCAUGCAGAAUUUUAAUUCACUUAAUGAGUGAAAUAACCAUCAUCAUACCAAUAGUAUGGAUCAUCAUUACUAUUCACAUAUGAAUAGUCAUGAAUAAACCAUUGUUCUUGAACAGGAUAAUCUAUAAUUUUUUCAAGAAAAUCUUUAUUUAAUUUUAUCACCUUUAAAAUAGUGAUUAAAGUUUUUUCAUCUAAGAAAAUGGUAUAAUAACUCAUUAUACAAUAUAAAGAGUAAAUUUCUUUAUUAAAAGUUUGAUGCUUUUAUGCUGAAAUUCUCGUAUUUCUUUUCGCAUACGAGUUUUAUCAAGAGACCUGAAUAACAGUAUUUUUAAUCUGUUAAUUUCAGAAAUAUUUGAAGUACUUUUCAAUCGAUAGAUUUUUUGAUAAUAGUAUUUUAAUUUUGUUAUAUCUCUGUUAAGAGCUUCUAUGCUUGUUUUGGUUUCCCAAAAUCUUUUUCUAAGAUUCUUUAGUAGUGGUUGUACCACUCUCAUGAUGAUAAAUAUAGAUAAUUCAUGAUUUUAAUAUUCCCUAUAGGUACUUAGUAACACAUAAUAUGUAUGAGUGUACAAAGUAGAUAUGAAUAAAAAAUUUUCUUAUGUUAAUAUGUUCAUGAAAUGAUAGAGUUUAUACGUAUACCUUUUUGACUUUCUUUUAUAUUGGCUGUAUCAACAUCGUAGUGCUUCUCCUUCCGGCUAUGAAGAAUUAUUUAGCCUAUUGCGACUCACUGUCUCAGGCUAUUGUGCCGUUCUUCCUCCGUCGAGGCUGAAGAUUGCAACCUUCAUUUAUCACCAACAUAUAGAAAUGACAAAAGAUAUAUAAAACAAACUUUUUAUUUCAUGAAUAUAUUACAACACAGGAAAAAUCUUUAAUCAGAUCUUCCUUAUACUCACACACAAACUAUUUGUUACUUUUCCCUCGCGGGAGAAGUGUUUCUCACUCACUCAUAUAGAAGAUACCUAGUAUUUUCUAAGAAAGAGAUAUUCAGA